rnacentral:rRNA from 2 species
UGACCUCGGAUCAGGUAGGACUA